rnacentral:rRNA from 1 species
GACGAACGCUGGCGGCGUGCCUAAUACAUGCGAGUUGAGCGCUGAAGGUUGGUACUUGUACCAACUGGAUGAGCAGCGAACGGGUGAGUAACGCGUGGGGAAUCUGCCUUUGAGCGGGGGACAACAUUUGGAAACGAAUGCCAAUACCGCAUAAAAACUUUAAACACAAGUUUUAAGUUUGAAAGAUGCAAUUGCAUCACUCAAAGAUGGUCCCGCGUUGUAUUAGCUAGUUGGUGAGGUAAAGGCUCACCAAGGCGAUGAUACAUAGCCGACCUGAGAGGGUGAUCGGCCCCAUUGGGACUGAGACACGGCCCAAACUCCUACGGGAGGCAGCAGUAGGGAAUCUUCGGCAAUGGACGAAAGUCUGACCGAGCAACGCCGCGUGAGUGAAGAAGGUUUUCGGAUCGUAAAACUCUGUUGGUAGAGAAGAACGUUGGUGAGAGUGGAAAGCUCAUCAAGUGACGGUAACUACCCAGAAAGGGACGGCUAACUACGUG